rnacentral:lncRNA from 1 species
GGAACAGAGCAUUUCUAGGCUCUAAGCCCAUUUUCUUUCUUGGAAAUCAAUCCAGACUUGAAGUUCAACAGAUUGACACAGAUGAGGAUAUAUCUUAUGUGAGGAAGAGAAGAAAGAAGAAAGGAUCAUUCUAUCUCAGCCUGAAAACCUACAAAUCAAGCAUGCAACAGCUGGUCUCAGAUAUCCCUGACGUAUGUGAAGCUGUUGAAAUGAAUACUCUGAGGUUCCUGAGAGAGAGAAGGAUGGGGAACAGAAGAAGAAAUGGCACUGGGCUUGGGGUGGUUGGAGAAGAGUGAGAGUCCUGCCGUUUGGGCCACUGUUUUCCUGUAGAGAGCUUUUUUAAAUCAGCUUUACAGAAGUCUAAUUUACAUAUCAUAAAACUAACCAUAUUUAGUUGUACAAUUUAAUAAGCUUUUACAAAUAUAUUCAAUAAUGUAGCUAACACCUAAACGUUUCUGUCACCCUCCCAAAUUCCUUCAUGUCCGUUUGCAUUCAAUCCCAUUCCCUCACCUUCAGACCAUGAAAACCACUGAUCUGCGUUCUGUCAAUAUAGUUUCGUUUUUCCAUAAUUUCAGAUAAAUGAAAUCAUAUAGAAGGUAGUCUUUUUAUGUUUGGCUACUUUCACUUAGCAUAACGCACUUGAUAUUCAUAAAGUUGUUGCCUGUGCUCCUUUUUAUUACUAAGUAGUAAUCCACGGUAUGGAUGUACCACCGUGUUUUUAUCCAUUCACCAGUUGAAGGAUAUUUGUGUUGUUUCCAAUUUGGGGCAGUUAAGAAUACAAGUGCUACAAACGUUUGAAUACAACUUUCUUUGUAAACUCAAGUUUUCAUUUCUCUAGAGCAAAUACCUAGGAGUAGGCUCACUGAGCCAUAUGUAAAUGUAUGGUUAACUUGAUAAGAAGCCUCCAAACAUUCAAAGUGGCUGUGCCAUUUUACAUUACUGCCAGAAACGUAUAAUAUCUCCAGUUGAGCCACAUCCUACUUUUAAAUUUUAUUUAUAUGGGUCUAUUUCUGGGCUUUCUAUUCUGUUCCAUUGAUCUAUUUAUCUGUUCUUUCACCAAUACCACACUCUCUUGAUUACUGUAACUUUAUAGGAAAAGUUGAAAUCACACAGUGUUAGUCCUCCAACUUUGUACCUAUUUUUUAAAAUUGGUUUGUCUAUUCUUGUUCUUUUGUCUUUCCUCAUAAAUUUUAGAAUCAAAUUAUUGAUAUAUGCAAAAAUUCCUGAUGAGAUUUUGGUUAAGAUUGUGUUGAAUUUAUGGAUCCACAUGGGAAAAUUUGACAUCUUACAAUACUG